AGAGUUUGAUCCUGGCUCAGGAUGAACGCUGGCGGCGUGCCUAAUACAUGCAAGUCGAGCGAACGGACGAGAAGCUUGCUUCUCUGAUGUUAGCGGCGGACGGGUGAGUAACACGUGGAUAACCUACCUAUAAGACUGGGAUAACUUCGGGAAACCGGAGCUAAUACCGGAUAAUAUUUUGAACCGCAUGGUUCAAAAGUGAAAGACGGUCUUGCUGUCACUUAUAGAUGGAUCUGCGCUGCAUUAGCUAGUUGGUAAGGUAACGGCUUACCAAGGCAACGAUGCAUAGCCGACCUGAGAGGGUGAUCGGCCACACUGGAACUGAGACACGGUCCAGACUCCUACGGGAGGCAGCAGUAGGGAAUCUUCCGCAAUGGGCGAAAGCCUGACGGAGCAACGCCGCGUGAGUGAUGAAGGUCUUCGGAUCGUAAAACUCUGUUAUUAGGGAAGAACAUAUGUGUAAGUAACUGUGCACAUCUUGACGGUACCUAAUCAGAAAGCCACGGCUAACUACGUGCCAGCAGCCGCGGUAAUACGUAGGUGGCAAGCGUUAUCCGGAAUUAUUGGGCGUAAAGCGCGCGUAGGCGGUUUUUUAAGUCUGAUGUGAAAGCCCACGGCUCAACCGUGGAGGGUCAUUGGAAACUGGAAAACUUGAGUGCAGAAGAGGAAAGUGGAAUUCCAUGUGUAGCGGUGAAAUGCGCAGAGAUAUGGAGGAACACCAGUGGCGAAGGCGACUUUCUGGUCUGUAACUGACGCUGAUGUGCGAAAGCGUGGGGAUCAAACAGGAUUAGAUACCCUGGUAGUCCACGCCGUAAACGAUGAGUGCUAAGUGUUAGGGGGUUUCCGCCCCUUAGUGCUGCAGCUAACGCAUUAAGCACUCCGCCUGGGGAGUACGACCGCAAGGUUGAAACUCAAAGGAAUUGACGGGGACCCGCACAAGCGGUGGAGCAUGUGGUUUAAUUCGAAGCAACGCGAAGAACCUUACCAAAUCUUGACAUCCUUUGACAACUCUAGAGAUAGAGCNNNNNNNNNNNNNNNNNNNNNNNNNNNNNNNUUCCCCUUCGGGGGACAAAGUGACAGGUGGUGCAUGGUUGUCGUCAGCUCGUGUCGUGAGAUGUUGGGUUAAGUCCCGCAACGAGCGCAACCCUUAAGCUUAGUUGCCAUCAUUAAGUUGGGCACUCUAAGUUGACUGCCGGUGACAAACCGGAGGAAGGUGGGGAUGACGUCAAAUCAUCAUGCCCCUUAUGAUUUGGGCUACACACGUGCUACAAUGGACAAUACAAAGGGCAGCGAAACCGCGAGGUCAAGCAAAUCCCAUAAAGUUGUUCUCAGUUCGGAUUGUAGUCUGCAACUCGACUACAUGAAGCUGGAAUCGCUAGUAAUCGUAGAUCAGCAUGCUACGGUGAAUACGUUCCCGGGUCUUGUACACACCGCCCGUCACACCACGAGAGUUUGUAACACCCGAAGCCGGUGGAGUAACCUUUUAGGAGCUAGCCGUCGAAGGUGGGACAAAUGAUUGGGGUGAAGUCGUAACAAGGUAGCCGUAUCGGAAGGUGCGGCUGGAUCACCU
rnacentral:rRNA from 1 species